AGGAACUGACAAUCAAGAGUACUUUGGUGUGUUGCAUGAAAUUAUUGAAUUUUAGUAUAUGGGAGGAAAUAAUGUCGUUUUGUUUAAAUGUAAAUGGUGGGAUGUCAAUAGUCAUGGUAAAGGAAUUAAAGUUGAUGAUCAUGGACUAACUAGUGUGAAUAUGACCUACACAUUUGCUACAAAUGAGCCAUUUGUAUUGGCAUGUCAAUCUGAACAAGUUGUUUACCUUGAAGAUAGAAAAAAUCCAACUUGGUAUUUUGUGUUGAAGGUUGAUCCAAGAGAUUAUUACAAGAUCCCUGUAAUCAAAGAUGCAGAUUGUCAAGAAGAAGAUGGCUAUGAAGGAAUUUAAUGUUGAUAAUUAUUUGGUGAUGGUGACUUCUUUUUGAAUUACUUCUUGUUAUUUGGUAUUAUGAACCUUUAUUAAUGAUUUUCCUAAGCAACUGUCCAAUUAUAUGACUUUAUUAAUAUGUUUAGAAAAUUAUUUGAAUUGAAUAUUAUGUACUGUUUAUUUGUUAGAGACUGAAUUGUAGAAUUAUCUGUAUUUGAGAAAGUUAUAAUUUGCAGGUUGAAAGUGCAAUUUCUACUCUUAAGUGCAAUAUACGAUAGGGAAAAAGAUGAAAAACUUCUCAUCUCAUAGAGCAAAGUUCAAAUUCCAAGAUAGAAAUAGUAUAAAUAGUCAUGAGAAUAGUAGGGGCGACUACAUCUAUAUCUUCAACAAAAUCUAAAAGACAAGUUGGUCUAGAAGUUUCAUCAUCGUUUACAAGAGAAAUUGGAUCAACUACUAAUUAUGAAAGGACUGUUAAUGGAGAAUCUUCUUUUGUAGGGCCAAGAAAAGUGUGUAGUCCCACACGCAAUCUUAAACUAGUUAAAUUACCUCAUGGGAUUAGAUUUGAAGUAUCAUGGAGGAACAAAAGACCCGUUGGAGAUAAUGCUGAUAUUUUCAAAAGCCAAUCCACUAUUUUGGCUCGACAAGUCAACUUUACACCUCUACAAGGGAAACGUUGGAAAGAUAUUGACAUGGCAACAAAAAGAAAACUAUUUGAGCUUUCAUUAUAUGUGAUAUAAAAACUUAAUAGUUAUUUUAUUUACGUAUUACUUGCUUUAAUUGUCAUUGUUUUUUGCCAUGUAAGAGCGAUUUAAAGUUGAAGGUCAUGAGGCUUCUGUUUUACGUCAACUUAAUCGAUCUUAUAAUAAUUGGAGAGAUAGCUUGAAGAAAAAAUGGUUGUACAAAUAUGAUAUAGUUGCAGAAGCUUUGGCUAAUAUUCCACCAGAAAUUACAAGAGAAGAUGCAGAAUAUCUUGCUAACUUGUGGAAGUCAACUGAAUAUCAGGAGAUGUGUGACAGGAACAAAGUGAACCGUUCUAAAUUGAAUGUAUAUCACACAUGGGGUUCACAGAGUAUACAACAAAGGGUUGAGAAAUAGUCGGAACUCAAAUGAUAUGUCUCUCAAGUGAUUGAUGGUACACUUGACAUGAACAACAACGAGAUUUUUGUCCAAGUAUUUGAACCAGAGAAACAUGGGUGUGUUCGAGGUUAUGGAGCCGGUGUUACUCCUUCUGGGUUGUUUGGAUCAUCUUCCAAAGUUCGUGAUCUUGAGCGACGCCUUAACGAGUCAGAACGACAAAGAAAAGUUGAGGUACAAGGACUCAAAGAUCAAAUUAUUGAAUUAGAAAAUCGUUUUGAGCAUGGAUUUCAAGCAAUGAUGGCUGAGAUGAUGCGAAAGAAAUCCUAAAGUAGGGGUUAGAAAAUUUGUUUGUUUUACGUAUUUGAAGUAUUUGUAUUAUUUGAAUUAGUUUUAGAAAUAUCGUGACUACUUGUUGAUUGUUUUUGCA